rnacentral:rRNA from 1 species
UUCGGUGGCCAUAGAGUAGGGGUCACACCUGUUCCCAUACCGAACACAGCAGUUAAGCCCUACUCGCCGAUGAUACUGCUCUGCGGGAAAGUAGGUUGUCGCCGUAC